GUAGCUUAAUUAGUUAGAGCAUCCGUCUUAAAUACGGGAGCUCGCGGGUUCGAACCCCGGUCGAGUCA